GAGACAGGGAGGGAGGGAAAGAUAAUGGAAGAAGGGAAGGCUGCCACUACAGUCCAGUGUUUCAAGACAAGUGCAGUAGAUUACAGAAGUAUUACAUUUCAGGUACACAUCUACUAAAAAUUGAUUCUGAAGAAGGCAUGUGAUGACACUGCAAAAUGUGGAUAUUGAUUAGUGGCAGGUUCUGUUUUCUUCCCAAGUGGCUCCCUUUUGUCUAUUUAGUGCACUAGUUUUGACUACGGGCCUGAACAGAGUGUACAAAACAUUAGGAACACAAUCAAUGCAGCUUCUUAAAUGACCUUUUAGCCAAGUCGCAUUUGGAAAGUUUUUUUAAACUCUCUCCCACUGGCCUCCCCUACCAGAAUUACACUGCAUUGUUGGUGUUUGGGGUGGACUACACAACCCCCCACCAAAACACGAACACACACACACACACACACACACUUACACUAGAACAGUUCAACUCCUCGGCUGUUUACCAAAACAAGUGGCGGGAUGACGUGCUCUGUUAUUGUAUGAAUACCAGAUUACCCCUUUAAACGCUGAUUCUCCAUGUUGUUUACAGGUAUUGAUUGGAUGACAGAGGAACCAAACAACAUGCAUGACGAGUGGGCUUGUGUCUUACAGACAGCAUCAGACCCAUUGAAGAGUUGGAAGGAUGGACCAUGUGUUAAACACUGGGCUGUUUAUCUGGCAGCUCAAUUCUGACAUUUAGCCCAAUGACGAAGGGGCACAACGAUGGAGGAAUUCAGAUAUUAUAUCAUAGUUUGAGCAUCAUCCACAGACUUUAAACCACGGUGCGUAACAUGGUUCAAUGUGCUUAUAAACUAGCACAAUCUGCUUUUUGUUUUUAAAAUUGCCGCUGUCUUGGAGCUAGAAUUGGGAUCAUGUAUACUGUGCUAAUGACAAUACAAAAAAAUUGUAACAGAGAAUACUGGGCAAUACGGUUAAUUUAGCAAAUUAGGUGUUUGUGGUAAGAACAUGAGGGACACCAUCUUCAUUCACCUUCGCCAUUACUGGCAAAGAGCUGAUCUCAUUGUCAGAAGACAAACUUUGUCUCAGCACUUUGGCUACAUUUACACAGGCAGACAAAUUCUGAUAUUUUUCCACUAACUUGUCUUUUGACCAUUCACACACAUCAAAUAUUUUUCAGAGCUGAUCUGAUUAGUCCAAAGACCAAUUUUGAAAUGAAAGAAUCAGAAUUGGGCUGCCUGUAAUAAUGCAGCCAUAGAGAAGCAUUGAGAAAAAUGUGUAUUUCAGUUGGUUCCCUGAAUUAACUUCUACAUCUGCAUUGCUCACUGUUUGGGGUUUUAGGCUGGGUUUCUGUAUAAGCACUUUGUGACAUUUGAUGGAGGAGGUUUGAUUUGACUGAAUGGAAUUGACCUCAACCCUGGCGAAAAUCACAGGAUCCUCCCUGAUCCUGGCCCUGCCUGCUGCUGCCACCUAGUGGGAGGAUGUGAGUAGUGGAAAUAGAGGUGAAGGAAAGUGAACAAGUGCCCACUACAGGAGAAAGGAGACAUUAUUUGUACGCAACCUGAUUCCCUGACAUAAUCCACUUAUCUACCUCCAUUCCUAACAUCAUGUCGCUGUAUCUCAUGUCAAAUGUUUAUCUUUGCGAGUUGUGACAAUUACUAAAUGCUUUGGAUAGAAUGUGACUGAAUGUGGCAGGAAAAAAUGGUUUGAAAGUAGUUCUGUUGUGAACAUUGUAAAUUAAAUGUGUGAUAUUUUCCUUGUCCCACCCAAAUGACAGGUAUUUAUCCAUGGCUUGAGAAGGGAGGUCUGGAUGGGACUUCAUGACAGCCAUGCAGAGGAAGUUUGGGAGUGGGUUGAUGGGACAUCUUACUACCCAGAGAGUUGACCACCUGGCUCUCUGUGCUAUUGAACAAGAUGAUUUGGUUACACUUUAUAACAACCCUCAUGAAUAGGCCAUUAUAAAUGCUCAGGAAUUGUAAUGGUUAUAAUGUUUAGAAAUUGUUUAUAAAUGUUUACAAAUAAGACAAUAAUAAUGUAUUAAUACUAUUGUCACACCCUGAUCAUAGUUUGCUUUGUAUGUUUCUAUGUUUUGGUUGGUCAGGGUGUGAUCUGAGUGGGCAUUCUAUGUUGGAUGUCUUGUUUGUCUAUUUCUAUAUCUGUUCUCAAUCAGAGGCAGGUGUUAGUCAUUGUCUUAGAUUGAGAACCAUAUUUAGGUAGCCUGGGUUUCACUGUGGUUUGUGGGUGAUUGUUCCUGUCUCUGUGUUUUGCACCAGACAGGGCUGUUUUUGGUUUUCCACGUUUAUUGUUUUGUAGUGUUGUAGUGUUCGUGUUUAUCUGUUUUUAUUAAACAUGAAUCAAUAUAACCACGCUGCGUUUUGGUCCGCCUCUCCUUCACCUAAAGAAAACCCUUACAACUAUGUACAUUAUUUAUGAAGAGUCUAUUAAAAUAUGCUUAUCCAUCAGUAAUUCAAUGUCAUUUUAAACAACUGCUUUGGCGUUGAGGACUGUGCUAUUUUCACCCAAAGUUAGUCAGAUCCAUUGAAGAGCUUGAACAAUGUAGGGAGCACUAUGAAAUCAACUGGGUCUGUGAGAACCAGACACAAUCAACUGGGUCUGUGAGAACCAGACACAAUCAACUGGGUCUGUGAGAACCAGACACAAUCAACUGGGUCUG
rnacentral:lncRNA from 13 species